rnacentral:rRNA from 1 species
GGACGAACGCUGGCGGCGUGCCUAAUACAUGCAAGUCGAGGCGCGGGAAGCGGACAAUCGACCCUUCGGGGUGUGCGUCCGUGGAACGAGCGGCGGAUGGGUGAGUAUCACGUGGGCAACCUGCCUGUAAGAUUGGGAUAACUCGCGGAAACGUGAGCUAAUACCGAAUGAAGUCUUUCGCCGCCUGGUGAAAGGAUGAAAGAUGGCUCUUGAGCUAUCACUUACAGAUGGGCCCGCGGCGCAUUAGCUAGUUGGUGGGGUAAAGGCCUACCAAGGCGACGAUGCGUAGCCGACCUGAGAGGGUGAUCGGCCACACUGGGACUGAGACACGGCCCAGACUCCUACGGGAGGCAGCAGUAGGGAAUCUCCCGCAAUGGACGAAAGUCUGACGGAGCAACGCCGCGUAAGUGAUGAAGGUCUUCGGAUCGUAAAACUCUGUUGUCAGGGAAGAACAAGUUGUGUUCUAACAGGACAUGACCUUGACGGUACCUGACCAGAAAGCCCCGGCUAACUACGUGCCAGCCGCUGC